UGUUUGAGUCAGGUCGGGACUAAUGCCAUCCUGAACCUGAAUAAAGGUAAGCAAAGAAUUUGAUUUUUUUGAGCUCCCUUGCCGGCUGCAGCAUUGUUGUUUUUUGCCCGUAAUUCUGCGUGCGAAAAUCUGGACGAAGACGACGGAGUCUUAUUUUUCUGCUACUGUGAUUUCUCACACAUGGCAUUUUGGAGGAAACAGGAAGCAAUGUUUUUUCACUUUCUCUCCACUGUGAUUAAGCAGCCCAGCACUUCUCUGGGAUUAUUCUUGUGAUGACAGGUUUUCUUGUCUUAGUUGGGAGUUAUAACCUGGAAUUUAUAAACGGAAGCCGGUAUUUGUUCAUUUUUGGAGGACAACAUUUAUCCACAUCUUCCGCCUAUCAACACCCAGGAUAGAUAGCAGGCCCUUGGCCUGAAAGCCUGAGCUCUCUGCUAACAAGGUUGUUUCUCACUCCAUGCUGACAGGAAAUCAUCCUGCACACUACUCACAUUGUUGGUUUUGUUUGUUUUGUACUGAGUAGAAGCUAUUUCUCCACAUUCCUGGCUCUGGCUUUGAGUGCUACUGAGAGGAAAAAGGCAAGAAAGGAAGAGAACAAAAAACAUCAUCUCAAAGAGCUGAUCCAAGUUACUGUGAGAAUACAAGUAGAAACGUGAUAUCACAGUUUCCAAUUACUUUAUUCCACCAGAAAAGCCACAAGAAUAACCAAUGUUAGUGUUAUUAGCACAUAAAAAGUGGAAAGAGCAAAGGUAACAACAAUUAGCCCUAUGUGGUUUCAACUGGCUGUUGAAUACAGCGUUAACUGACACAGGGAUGGUGAUUCCUAGGUCUUAGCUACCACAACUGUAUAUUAACCACUGAAAGAUAAGGGAACAAAAGACCCUAUGCACAGAUAAUGGAACCAGCAAGAACUGGGUUGACUACUGAAGUCUGUCAGAGACAGGAAAGGCCAGAAGAUAAGAAGCGAGGAAGACUUCUGGCCUUCAACAAAAGACCACCAGAGUAUGCCAGAUGGCUGACCACCCAAGGAUUCCACUACGUAUACAAGUAGAGACAGAACCUAUGUUAAUGAUUCUUUGGAGACCUGAUGAACAUACAAGUGACUUAAGGGAAAUGAAAUGAAUAUGUAUUUGUCCAACUAAUAUAAGCACACUACCAAUAAUCAUUGGUGCACAAGUUAGGUGGAACCUUGUGUCCAGUGUGUGCACAGGGCCAAAUAAACACACCUGCUUUAUAACUAUUCCGAGGUUAUAGAGUCUAUUUUCCACAAGUCAUAACAAUACAUAAGUGUUUUAACUUGUGUGUGAUGUUUCCAGCCUCUUCCCUAAGAGCAUAGAUUACUACCCAUUAAAAAGGUGUUUUUUUUUUUUUUUUUUUU